rnacentral:rRNA from 1 species
GCCUACGGGAGGCAGCAGUGGGGGAUAUUGCACAAUGGGGGAAACCCUGAUGCAGCGACGCCGCGUGGGUGAAGAAGCGCCUCGGCGCGUAAAGCCCUGUCAGCAGGGAAGAAAAUGACGGUACCUGAAGAAGAAGCCCCGGCUAACUACGUGCCAGCAGCCGCGGUAAUACGUAGGGGGCAAGCGUUAUCCGGAUUUACUGGGUGUAAAGGGGGCGCAGACGGCGAUGCAAGCCAGGAGUGAAAGCCCGGGGCCCAACCCCGGGACUGCUUUGGAAACUGUGUAACUGGAGUACAGGAGGGGCA